rnacentral:lncRNA from 1 species
CUCGAGGCCCGGGCUGCGGGAGAGCAUAACCGGCGGCGGCUCCCGGCUCCAGCCCAGGUUGGCGAGCAGGGGGCGGCCCCAGGGCUGCGGCACCCCCGGCCCCUCCGAGCCCCAUCGCUCCUCCCGGGGGAGCGGCCAGCGCGGGGAGCGCUCCCGGCGCGGCUGCGGGAGCUGGGAGGCUCCAGCGGGAGAGCAGCCCUGGAGCUGCAGGAACAAGAUGCCCGUGAAGUUUAACCUCUCCUAAGAGGGAAAAAAAACCACAGAGAA